rnacentral:rRNA from 1 species
UGGGGAAUAUUGCACAAUGGGCGCAAGCCUGAUGCAGCCAUGCCGCGUGUAUGAAGAAGGCCUUCGGGUUGUAAAGUACUUUCAGCGGGGAGGAAGGGAGUAAAGUUAAUACCUUUGCUCAUUGACGUUACCCGCAGAAGAAGCACCGGCUAACUCCGUGCCAGCAGCCGCGGUAAUACGGAGGGUGCAAGCGUUAAUCGGAAUUACUGGGCGUAAAGCGCACGCAGGCGGUUUGUUAAGUCAGAUGUGAAAUCCCCGGGCUCAACCUGGGAACUGCAUCUGAUACUGGUCAGCUAGAGUCUUGUAGAGGGGGGUAGAAUUCCAUGUGUAGCGGUGAAAUGCGUAGAGAUGUGGAGGAAUACCGGUGGCGAAGGCGGCCCCCUGGACAAAGAAUGACGCUCAGGUGCGAAAGCGUGGGGAGCAAACAGG